CCUACGGGAGGCAGCAGUGGGGAAUAUUGCACAAUGGGGGAAACCCUGAUGCAGCGACGUCGCGUGAGUGAUGAAGUAUUUCGGUAUGUAAAGCUCUAUCAACAGGGAAGAAAAUGACGGUACGUGACUAGUAAGCCACGGCUAACUACGUGCCAGCAGCCGCGGUAAUACGUAGGGGGCAAGGGUUAUCCGGAUUUACUGGGUGUAAAGGGAGCGUAGACGGUGUAGCAAGUCUGAUGUGAAAGGUCGGGGCCAAACCCCGGGAUUGCCUUGGAAACUGUGGAACUGGAGUACAGGAGAGGUAAGCGGAAUUCCUAGUGUAGCGGUGAAAUGCGUAGAUAUCAGGAGGAACACCAGUGGCGAAGGCGGCUUACUGGACUGUAACUGACGCUGAGGCUCGAAAGCGUGGGGAGCAAACAGGAUUAGAUACCCGGGUAGUC
rnacentral:rRNA from 1 species